GCAGUAUGAAGCCUGCCCCAGGAUUGAAGACACCUGGCACCUAAUCACCUGAGUGGGUGUGAGUAUAAAGGCAGACUCCCUCGCAUUCUCUUUUCAUGCCUGCAUUUGGUCACUUCAGUGGAAUGUCUGCUGGUUAACUUGCAGUGGUCAAACUCAAUCCGGAAAUAAAGCUGCCUGAAGCCUCCUGUUGAUACUGGGAUGUGGCAGUAAUUUACCCUUCCUAGUACAAUUUGGCAACAUCAAAAAGGCUUGUAUUGACAAGUGGAUCCUCCUGCUGUGGGUCCGGAAGGGGCUCUCUGGUUGAAGUGGCGUUAUCCAGCCCUGGUAGGUGACCAUAGUUUCCUCUGCCUUGUGCCAUGUUCCUAAAAACCACCUAUUAACCCAAUUUAAUUUCAGGUCUAGAGCUGCUGCAGCCUGCUGGAAGCCCUGCUGCUUUGUUUUUGCUUUGUUUUUGCUUUGUUUUUGCUUUGU